UGUAUCAGACCAAAACAAAUCCGGGGCCUAGGAUUGGUUUUGGUCUGAUAAAUGCACGCAUCCCUGGGGGUCAGCGCUCGUCGGCAUGUAUUCGCUCUAGAAUUACCACAGUUAUCCAAG